GUUAGCUUCUUCUUCUUCGCUGGUGUUGGAGGAGUCAGAGAGGCAGCGCCCCCGGCUGGUCGAAGAGCGCAGCGGCAGCUCCUGUUCUGGCACAACAAUCAGUGAAACAGUUGACAGCAUUCACAGAUCACAGUGAUCGGAGAGCCUGAGAAUCUACAGAUGAUCUGUUCGGUCUUCAAGCUUUAAAACUCUCUGACUGGUGUGUUGGUGUUUUUCCAGCGUCUCAUUCCUUCCAGCUGUGCUCGGCUGGGCUCAGUUAGAAACCCGAGCUGUGGUGACUCGCUGUAACAUCUGAAGUAUAUUUCAGCAUCAGAUGAUGGAGGACGUCGUGCUCUGUAAUUACAGCAUGACGAAGUGAUGAGACUUUUCCUCCACUCUCAUAAACACUGUUUGUGUUUUCCAGCUGCUCCGGGAAACGUUUCUGCUCCCGUGUUGUUAUCAGGAUGGAAAUGUGGACUGAAAAUAUCUGUGAGCUGUCAGAGCGUUCUCUGAGUAACCCUGUGAAAUAUGAGA